AUGAUGAAAUCCUCAAGAGUUUUAUUAGUGAUCCUGUGGCUUCACUUAAUCUCGGUGAGCAGCCAGCAGAACACCGUGGAGCAGAGUCCUGCAUCUCUGCCUGUCCCAGAGGGAGCCGUCGCCUCUCUCGGCUGCACUUAUUCUGACAGUAAUUCUCAGUACUUCGCAUGGUACAGACAGUACCCUGGGAAAGGACCUGAGUUUCUGCUGAACGUGUAUCUCAACAAAGACAAAGAGGAAGGAAAAUUUACAGCGCACUCCAAUAAAACCAACAAGCGUGUCUCCCUGCAUAUCAGAGACUCCGAGCCCAGCGACUCAGCCACCUACCUCUGUGCAGUGAGCACACAGUGCUCCCCAGGCACCUGCCGCCUGUGCCCAAACCUGCUGGGGCCCCGGCAGCGCCUCUUGGAGAGCUUAGGCUGCAGGGCACAGACAUUCUGUCACCUCUCUAGAUGUAAAUGUGGAUUAAGAGUAACCGUGGAGAAGGUUUGAUUAGGGAAAUAUUUUAAUAAUUCUGAAACAGUUGAUUCUGAAGGGAAAUUAAACAGACAGUUUGGUCUGAAUGACUGAAAUAUUUUUCAAUCUUCUCAUUGUACUCUAGUUUUGUACCAUAACUUUACUCACUGGAAUUGGAAUUAUGAUGCUUUUAUAUAUGACAAUAUUUUAAUAUGAUAACUGAGAUACUCCCUCAUAGUUCCUGGUACAUUUUGCUCUUUCCUCAGGUAGUUAUUCAAGAUGUUUGAUAUUCAUUGCUUUAGGAAAUAAUGGGAAAACAUAAAUGCAGAAGUCUUUUUUUUUAAUGUGGACCAUUUUUAAAGCCUUUAUUGAAUUUGUUACAAUGUUGUUUCUAUUUUAUGUUUCUUGCUUUUUGGCUGUGAAGCAUGUGGGAUCUUAGUGCCCAGACCAGGGAUUGGAAGGCACACAAGUGGAAAGAGAAUUGGAAAGUCCCCCUGCAUUGGAAGGCCAAGUGUUAACCACUGGACCUCCAGGGAAGUCCCAGAAAGGAGCCUUAAGCAACUAUUUUGAAAAAGCUGUGAGUCAUGAAUUAUUUUAGUUAUAGAUCUGCCACCUCAUCUUCACCCAUCUUCAUCUGCAACUGCAAUCCCAUUGGUGGAUUAGAUAAGGAUACAUUUGAUGGGUGGAUGGAAGGAUUAACAUCAGAAGGUGAGAACUGGUUGAAACAAAAAGCCUAGACAGUUGCAGGAACUCAGAUCAGAGGUUCAUGUCACCAUUUUUGAGUGAAGGCUGAGUAGAACUCAAAGUUCCAGGUGUGAGCCUUGUGGGAGAGUGCACUGAUUCCUAUGUGCGUGAGUGAGGCUGGGGAUGGUAGAGAGAAUUAGCUACAGCCAUAGGAUAUCCCACACCCACAGCACGGUGUAGGGGUACAGGUUUCCUGAGAAGGAUCUCUGAGUAACCAAUGUUAUGGUGAUUAAAGACCUACAUGGAUCAGUUAUCAAAGACCAUAUGGUAUUGAGGAUGUUUUAGAAAAUGUUGGUGAGAGAGCUGGGAAUACCAACAGGGAUAUGAAUAUCCGCCCUCUCCUGACUCACUGUCACUGUGGAAUUGUCCUAUAACUUAUGCCAAAGUCUGGGAAAAAUGUUUGUGAUCUGAUGGAAAUCAAUUGAUGCUUUCGAACUGUGGUGUUGAAGACUCUUGAAAGUCCCUUGGACUGCAAGGAGAUUAAACCGUCAGUCCUAAAGGAAAUUAACCCUGGUCACCUGAUGCAAAGAGCUGACUCAUUGGAAGACCCUGAUGCUGGGAAAGAUUGAAGGCAGGGAGAAAGGGAUGGCAGUAGAAGAGACGGUUGGAUGACUCAAUAGACAUGAGUUUGUGCAAGACUUAGGAGAUGGUGAGGGACAGGGAAGCCUGGCAUGCUACUGUCCAUGGGGUCGCAAAGAGUCAGAUAUGACUGAGUGACCGAACAACAACAAAUAAAUCCAGGGAAAAAAAUUAGACGUCA
rnacentral:lncRNA from 1 species